UACGUAGGGUCCGAGCGUUGUCCGGAAUUACUGGGCGUAAAGAGCUCGUAGGUGGUUUGUCGCGUUGUUCGUGAAAACUCACAGCUCAACUGUGGGCGUGCGGGCGAUACGGGCAGACUUGAGUACUGCAGGGGAGACUGGAAUUCCUGGUGUAGCGGUGGAAUGCGCAGAUAUCAGGAGGAACACCGGUGGCGAAGGCGGGUCUCUGGGCAGUAACUGACGCUGGAGGAGCGAAAGCCGUGGGGAGC
rnacentral:rRNA from 1 species